ensembl:lncRNA
UGUAUAUCUGGAGCUUCAGCACCACCUACUGGAUGAUUUCCAGACAGACAAAAGAGGUGGAUCCUGGGGUCCCACACAGUUCCUUCUUACUACUAGUAAAGGGCUAUUCACGAGGCCACCUCCUACCAUGGACACCAGGAGUAAGAAAUAUCUCACAGGAACUGUAAAAUGAUUCUUUUCUGUAAUGUGUUUUGUUGGUUACUGAAAGAUUUUAAGCACUUUUUUACAUACCCUCUUUUAAAAUAUUUAUUGAUAUUUGGGACUGGCAGUCCUACUUAAUGGAUGUGCUGACAUUUAUAGAACCAGUUCCUUUAACUCACAAUAGCCAUUACCAAAAUGGUAUUUUCAUUUUUCCUCCAAUUGCCAGGCAGGGAGAAUUCUAAAAAUAACCUAAUGGCCUGUAUUUUACCGUGACAACUUUAGAGGGACUGUGUGUAUGUUUCAGAGAAGAUGAUGAUGAGGCAGGGAUUCAAAUUUAAAGGGAAAAUCUUGAGACUACCUAUUUUCAUUGGUUAUUCAGCAGUGCCUAAAAUGAGCUUUUGAAGUUUCACAAAUGCACUUUCAACUCAUGUGUAUAGUGCCAUCUGAUAUCUUGGAUAAGUGUUGCUUUUCUUUUCCUUUUCGUCCUUUCCCCUUAAUGAAGUGACAGAUGUUUCUUACUACCCAUGCAGAUACUCAGAGUACAGGAAACAUGUACUUUCCUUUCGAUGGGAAAUGUAAAGAAUUUUAAGGAUGUUUCUUUUGUUGAGGUUUACUUUAGGCUUUAUGAUUACACUUGGAACAUAAAACCUGCAAAUAUGUGUUUAAGAUUAGGUUUUUAAUUGUAGCCCAAAGGUACAUUAAACAAGUGUAACAUUUUUCUUUAUAAAACUGAAAAUCUUAGUUACCUGAAAGAAAUGGAUUCCUCACUAAAUAUUAUUUUCAUUCUUGAUUACCCUCCAUUAUUGCAUUUCUAAGUAUAAGGGAAAGCACUACAAACUUGCAUUACAUAUUGUUGCACUAAGAAAAAGUCUACAAAUCAUGAUUAUAGCACUACAAGGUGUUUUGCAUUGUCAGCAUUUAAAAAAAUUUUUUCUGAAAACAACUGGAGGUGAUUUAUGUAAACCAAAAAGAAAUAAAAAACAAAAGGGCUUUAAGGUACUGUUCGCCUAGCAGCCAGGUGGUUAUAAAACUUUGAUAUGCUUUGCUACACUGAUAAAUGUUAGCCAUUGUUCCUGAAAGCUUCUUAAAUUGCUUACAUUGUUAGUUUUGAAAAAUUACAAGAUAAUUUAGUUGAAAAGCCUUUGUAUUAAUGAUACACAUAGAUUUUUGUGAACAUUUCUCAUGUGUAGUGUCAUUUGCUUUCUCUUCUCUUGACCUUGAAAGUGCCUCACUUGUAUAUUAUUUCCAUUAAAAGCUUGACUGCAUUCUUUCUAAUGAGCAAUGAAAAAUUGUUUAAUCCAUGUCAUAAUGUAUCUCCUCAGAUAUAGCUAACUAGCUUGUUACUUUUGAGUAUAUAAUGUAAAUAUGCAUAUAUAAGUUUGUAACUGUUUUUGUUACAUCAUACCCAUGUAAUUGGACAUAUCAGAUGCUAUCAUAAGAAUUUGUUUUGAUGGUUUUUUUCGUCCCCUGGAAUUACCUAAUUAAACCUAUCAUGAAAUGUAAAAGGACUUUUUCUUACUCUGUUAGAGCUAUCAGAUUAUCAAAUAAGAGAAUUACCGG